CACCUCACAAUCUGAUGUAUUGGUUGUCAUGCCCUGUUUUCGGCAAGGUUAAACAAAACAUGACUUAUUGGACUCAAGGAAUUAAAUUUUGUAUAGAGUCGCCACCUAAUUUUAAAGGAAACUAAGGAAACCUAUUUAUUUGUCGAUACAUAUGAUUAAUGUUUUAGUCUGCGAAAACCUAUUGAGACUCUAGGUAAGGGUUCAAAUUAUCCUGAAGGGAAGGGGUUAGACGCCCUCCAGGAUCCACAAAUGUGGUACUCGGCUAGACUAAACUUAUCAAUGAGGGAGGAGGUAUAAAUAUUUAAAAUAAUGUAAAAGUGUAUGUGUAUUAAGUAUAAAAUAAUUCUUUUGAAAAAAAUAUAAAUGUUUAAAACCAUGUAAAAGUAUAUGUAUAUUAACAAUAUAAAUAAAAUCUAUUGUUAUAAAAACAUGUAAAAGAUAUGUAUAAAAUGUAUAAAUUACAUGUAAAAAAUGAAAAGGAAAAGUAUUUUAUGAUGCAUGAAAAAGAAAUAUAUUUUUUGUAUGCCAAAAAAAGAAAUGUAUUUACAAGUAAUAUUUUUUAUCUAAUUAAAAUUAUAAAGAAAAGUAAAAUUUAUUUGAAAAGAAAAGACUACAAAAUAUAUAUAAAUUACUUAUUUAACUUGACUCUUUUAUUUAAGUGUAUCAAAAUAAUAUAUAUGUUUUGUUGAAAAAAAUAUAAACAAAUGUACAUUAAUAUAUGUGUGUAAAGAAAAACUUAUUCUAAAGAAAAAAACUACGUAAUAGUAUUUUUAGUGUGAAAGUAUAAAAUGUAUGAUUAAAUAAUCUAAGUUAAUCUAAUAUUUUUACAUGAAUAUUAACGGCCUAAAUUUUCUUAAAUGCAUGGUGAAGAUUACGUAAAUAAAAAAUAUCCCGCCCAACACCCCAAAAAUAAAGCUUUCACUAUGAUUAAAUUUGUACAAGUGCGAGAAUAUAAAAAAUAUAAACGCAUAAUUUAAAGUCUUCUUUGACUGUCAUUUCCAAUGAUGGUUCCCAAUAAGUUGUAUAAACACUAAUAUUAAAAAUGUUAGUAACAAAUAAAUAAUAAUCAAAAUAAAUUAAAAAAUAUGUGUGCGUAUGCGUAUUUAAAAAUAUAAUUUUUGUUAAAAUGUCGGCUCAGAUAAAGUUUUAAAAUAUUAUAAAGAGUUCGUCAUUGCACAAAAAUAUUUAAUUUUUGUUAUGUAUUUGUAUACGUAAUGUCCGUCUUUUAUUCGGGAAGGCCUCGAAAACUGACGGGAAUUUUUUCAUUGGCCAAUGUGUCUAUUUCUGAUAUAAAGUAAAUAACUUGGAAAGUAAAGAUCCCUUUUUUGUAUUGGGGUGGCCUCAAGUAUCCGACGGAGAGAUAAUAUCAUUGGCCAAGAAUAUUUAGUUUGCCAUAAAAUAGAUAAAUUUGAGAAAAUAAAGUCCAUCUUUUGUAAUGUAGUGGCCUCAAAAAUCCGACGAAAAGAUAUUUUCAUUGGCCAAAAAAUAUUUAUUUUGAGUAUAUGUAUGUGUUUUUGAGGAAAAAAAAAGAUGAACAAAUUUUGUGUAUGAUAACAAUAUGCGUGGUGAGGAAUAUGUGUGUGUAGUGAAGAAGUGUGUGUUUGGGAGAGAAGAAAAAUAUGUGGGGAUGAUAAAUGUGUCUAUGUAUUUGUGAAUGUGUAUUUUAUUUGUGUAUUUGUAUGUGAGAAGAGAAAAAAUAUGUGUAUUAUAUUUUUGAAAAAAAAAGAAUAAAAUAUAUAAAAAGAAAAAUAAUUUGUUUAUAUUUUGACAGAGGGGAGAAAGAAGAAUGAAAUGUAUAUAUGGUGACAAACAUGUGUGUGUGUGAGAACGGAAAAAGAUGACUAAAAUUUUUGUGUUUGCGGGAGAGGAGAAAGAGGUGAAAAAUAUGUGUGAAUUUUUUGAGAGAGAGGAAGAAUAAAAAUGUGUGUCUGAAAAUGCCUUCCCAUCACUCCUAUUUAUAAUGAAAUUGAGCACCUCUUAUUGUCCAAUGGAUAAAGAGAUGUCUCCUCUUUAUAUAAUAGCACAUCCUUUGGUCCUUAAGGUAUUGACCAAAGGAUUUUUAUCUUUUUGACCAAUGGAUAAAAUUGUUGUCCAAAGGAUAGUGUCAUUGAGUGGUCAUUGUUAGAUGUGACAAGACAUUAUGUGUAGUCAUUGUCACAUGUGACAAGACAUCAUUGUGUAGUCAUUGUCGAAUGUGACAAGAUAUUAUUGUGUGGUCAUUGUCGGAUGCGACAAGACAUUAUUGUGUGGUCGUUGUCGGAUGUGACAAUACAUCGAAUUAUUAUACUGUAUAAAAUUAAUUGAUUUGAAUUAGCAUUUGCGGACCGUAAAAAUGUACAAAAUGCAAGUAUUGAUUUGUAAUUAUGAAAAUUGUAAAGAAUGUUAAAAAUAUUGAAAAAUGUACUUUAAUUUUUAAAAAUGAUACAAAAAUGUGAUAUCAUGUCGUGUACAUGUGUAAAUGAUUGUAAAAUGUCGAAAACGAUAAUGAAUUGAUAAAAAUUCUAAAUAAGGAUGAGUAUCAAUAAUUUGUCAACAAUUUUAAAAAAGAUAUGAAAAUUAUAUUUUUUGCCCUUUAACGAUCAAGGAAGCCUGAAGACGUUAAUUUUAGACAUGGAGAGCGAAAAUUGGGUGUCAACAGUUGCCCCUUUUCGUUUGAGGACGAUGUAGAAAUCUUCAAACGAAAACAUUGACGUGUAGCCAAUUUUGCUCGACAAAAAUGAUAUAUUUUAUUUUUGAAGAAAAAAUUUGACCAAACUCCAAUUUAGAGUUGCCUAUAUACCUUAUGAGGAUCAGGUCGGAUGUAGUUCAAAAGAUUGGGCAAACCACCAUGUUAUUAAGAGUGAGAGACCAUAGAAGUAAUUAAUGAAAUGUAGACUAUUUGGGAAAAGAAGUGUUCAUCUAUUCCUGAUGUUCCUUUCGAAAUUACCCUAGUAUCGAGCUGUGAGAUGCUGGGAAUGGAAGAUUGUGUAUUUGAUGGGGAGAAAUAAUGAUUGUGAGGUUGUAAUGACCGAACUCUGCAUAGAGCUUCCUACAUAUCUCGAGUGUCACGAGAAUCAGGUCAAUGUAGUUCGAAAUGAGGAAAUAGAAAAUUUUGGGGUGAUUCUCAAAAUUUGCCCCGGUGUAUGAUGCGUGGGAUAUGAAAAAAAUGCCUUUUUAUUUUGAAUUAUAUUUUCAGUUGAAAAAUGAAUGAUGUCUCCGAUUGUCUUCGGGGACCUAAGGAUGAAUGAUGUCUCUGAUUGCUUACAAAAACUUGGGGAUGAAUAUUGCCACCGAUUGUUUAUGGGGACUUAUCUGAUGAAUGAAAAAUGUCUUCAAUUGUCUAUGAAGACUUGAUGCAUGUCAUCUCCAAUUAUCUUAUGAAGACUGAUGUUGAAUGUCAUCUUUGAUUGUCUACAGAGAUUGAUGUGAUGAAUGAUGAUGUCUUUGAUUGUAUACGAAGACUGAUGUUGAUUAUCGUCUUAAAUUGUCUAUGAAAACUGACGGAUGACAUCUCUAAUUAUUUAUGGAGACUGAUGUUGAUGAUUGUCUCUGAUUGCCUACGGAUACUAAUGUGAUGAAUGGUGUCUUUAAUUGUCUAUGAAGACUUGAUGACUUCUCCAAUUGUCUAUGUAGAUGGAUGUUGAAUGAUGAUGUCUUCGAUUGUCUGCGAAGACUUGAUGUAUGAUACCUCUAAUUGUCUAUAGAUGCUAAUGUUGAUUGUUGUCUCCGAUUAUCUACGGAAACUGAUGUGAUGCCUUUGAUUGUUUACUAAGACAGAUGCAUGGCGCUCUAAUUAUCUAUGAAGGCUGGUAUGGAUUGUCGUCUCUAAUUGUCUACGGAUACUGAUAUGACGCCUUUGAUUUUUUAUGAAGACAGUUGCAUGACCCCCCAAUUAUCUAUGGAGGCUAAUGCGAUGAAUGGUGUCUUCGAUUGUUUACGAAGACUUGAUGACAUCACCAAUUGUCUAUGGAGAUUGAUGUAGAUUGUUGUCUCCAAUUGUCUACGGAGACUGUGUGAUGGUCGUCCUCAAUUGUCUAUGAAGACUAAGGACAUCAACCAGUGAGGUAAUGGCCUCUCGAUUGGUGGAACAUCUGUAAGGUAAUAGACUCUUGACUGGCGGGGCUACGAAAAUAAAAGAGCUCUCGACUGGUAGAGCAAUUUGAAAGGUAAUAGUCUCUCGACUGAUGGGGCUACGAAAAUGUAAAAGCCUCUCGACUGGCGGGGCUUUUGAAGGGUGAUAGCCACUCGACUGGCGGGACUAUGAAAAUGUAAGAGCUCUGAGAACACCUAAUAGAAAAGCACAAUAUCUGUGUUUGAAUGUGAGAACUUCAAAAGAAGAAUCAAUUGCCUGUAUUUGGAGGUGAGCGUCUUGCAUGUAAAGUGUAAUGCAUGUAUGUGAAGGCAUGUAUUUGAAAGGAAAGAAAAUUAUUUUUUGCAUUUUUGUUGUAAAAAAUGUGUUGAAAGAUGAAAAAUGCGGGAGAUUUCUUUGUGUUUUCUUUCUGAGAAAUGUGAAAAGGUGAAACUGCAGAAUAUUGUUUUGUAUUUUCUUUGUAAGAAAUGCUGAAAGUUGAAAAUGUAGAAAAUUAUUUUGUGUUUUUCUUGUAAAAAGUGUUGAACAGCGAAACAAAAUUAUUUUGUACUUUCUUUUAUAAGAAAGGCUGAAAGUUAAAAAAUGUAGAAAAUUAUUUUGUUUUUUAUUUGUAAGAAAUGUUGAAAGUUGAAAAAAGCGUAAUCGUGCCUUGACUGUAGUUGGUAUCAACAAUUAGUAGUGUGUAUAAGAAUUUUCCCAUCUCUUCCAGCUAUCCGAGAUUGACUUCAGGGUAACUCUUAUAGCUUCAAGUGGUACCUCAAGCAUACCUAAGUAUCGGCAAGAUUCGUUCGUCUUACUUCAAACAAGGAUUUUGGACUGUGCCUAUUCUCAUGUUUCAAGUGCGCUCUCCAGAAAGAAUGUCUCGUUCUCACACUUAUUUGAAUAUUAUUUUCUUUUGAAUUUGGAGAUGUCUAGAAAUAUACACUCACACUUAGGAAGAAGUUCAAUGAAUACAAUUGUGAUACCAUAGACUUGGCCUUCAUGUAAGUAUCCACUAAUGUGAGAAAACUUAGAGUAGGAUCUUGUAGGACUUGUUAUUGGCUUGUAAUGUAGACUUAGGGUCUGGUAGGAUGACAUCUGGGAUAAAAGUGACUAAUUCCUCAAUGAACAUUGCACUGUAUCCGUGCUUUUGACGCUCUAUCUUCUUUAUUGUGCUUCUUUGACCCUUGUUUUGUAUUUGUUUCGACUUCUUUUGAAUCUUGUGUUGGAUUUUUUUCCCCUUUCGAUAUAUUUUCCUUCCUUUUUUUCUUUUUGGGGGAUGAUAAUUCCCCUCUUUCUCCUUCUUUCUUUGAAUUUGUAUUUUAUUUUGUUCUUCUAGGGAUAUAUGUCCUUUUUCUUUGGCAUCUCGAAUCUUCAUUCAAAACUUGCACAUACUUAGCGCGCUCAAGGAGGUGGGCCAAAGAGGGAUAGUGCAUGUAAGCACUCAAAAGGUAUAGGCUCAGAUGUGGUUAUUCUAAAGAAAGGUUUCAGGCUCAAAGAGGGGAAAUACUAGGGAUCGAUGUCAUUUAGUAGGCUGUGGAAGGCACAAUAUAGUCAAGAAAGGCCUACAAUCCUUUCCCAAACUAAGUGUAACUCAGAAUUUUACCUUAACAGACAUUCCGGCCAAGUUCUGGCUCAGCAAUGCAAUGCAAUGAACUAGUCUAAAGCUUGCCACAUAAUGCACUUGAAAUGAUGAGGUUGGUUUCGUUCUCGUCUUAGAUAUAUGCGAGAGAAUUUUCGAGUGUUACUCAGGUUUGAUUAAAAAGUACCAAAGAGUCUAUGGUUUACCAUGAAUUCGAUCCUCUCCAUCAUACCAAUUUGUUCUUUCUCAUGCAUACUCAUAAUUAUAUUGGUACCAACCAAGUGAAAAUUCUAAUAAAAUUUACUUAUUUUUUAUUUUUCAAAAAAAAAAAAGAUCGAACCCAAAUGAAGGUUGCCUAUGUAUCUUGUGAAAACAAGAAUCAGGUCUGCGUAGUUUAGGCAAAUUUGUAAAUGUGCAUAUAGUAUGUAUGAAUGUACAAGAAUGGUGGUCAUCGUCGAAAAUAAUGUGAAAGACGAUAAAAAGAAACUGUUUAUAACAUCAAAAUUAUUUCGAUCAGACGAUCGAGGGAAUGGAUGUCAAGCAUGAGGAGAGUUUUGAAACUACUUCAAUGUGUCACCAAGAUUCAGAAGGUCAGACAUUGAAGAAAUUCUGAUUUUAUUUUGCCAUAGUUGGCAGGGUUGUUAUGAAUGAAAGAAUAUUUAACCCUUGCUUUGAGGAUGGAUAUUGAUAUGCCAUAAAUUUAAUGGUUUACGACAUUCGAAAGAAGAAAAUAGGUGUUUUUGAAUCAAAAUUGGUUGAGGAUUUGGAGGAGGCCGGCUUUGCACUAAUAUAAUUGGGAUUUGAAUUUGAGAAGAUAUUGAUUGACGCUCUUGAAGAAUUUUGGAGAGCGUUUUUUAACUGUUCCUGAAUAUUUGCCCUAGUUUUGAAUACCAGAGAAAUCAGUCUGAAACAGUGAAGAGACCGAACCCUCAUACAAGGCCGCCUACGUAUCUUGUCAGGACAAGAAUCAGGUCAAAACAUAGUUCAAACCUGUUUUUUGAGUUUGUAUAUAGCGUGAUUUAUUUCUAAAUUAAGAAUUUUCCUAAAUAGCUGAGAGUAGGACCGAAUAAUUGCGAAAAGGCACACUAACCUAAAUGCACCAAUUCUGAAACUAAAGAAUCCAAAGAAGGUUCGGAGGAGUGCAGUACACCCCUCGCGUGUUCGGUGUGUGAAUUGUGUAUGACCAAAGACUCAAUGGAAUUGUGAUUUAUGAUUAAAUAAAUAAAGUAAAAAAAUAAUGUGUAGCAGUUUUUCAAUGUACAGAUAAAGUGUAUACGAACAAGUAAUGAAUCAAAGAAUUGAUAAGACAACAAAACUAAUUUGUGCAAAUAAUGUAAAAUUUAUGAAUAAACAGAUAAAGAAUCAAAGAAUUUAAUUGCAUGCAAAAAUGUAAAAGUACCUCCCUCGAUUGAAAAAUCGAGUCUAUCAUGGUUAGAACCUAUUGUUAAUCCUCAGCAGAGUCAUCAUUUUGUCAUGCCCUGUUUUCGCCAAGGUUAAACAAAACAUGGGUUAUUGGACUCUAAAAGAAUUAAAUUUUGUAUAGAGUCGCCACCUAAUUUUAAAGGAAAAUAAGGAAAGCUAUUUAUUUGUCGAUACGUAUGAUUAAUGUUUUAGUCUGUGAAAACCUAUUGAAACUCUAGGUAAGGGUUCAAAUUAUCCCGAAGGGAAGG
rnacentral:lncRNA from 1 species